GAUGAACGCUGGCGGCGUGCUUAACACAUGCAAGUCGAAUGAUGAAGCUGGAGCUUGCUCUGGUGGAUUAGUGGCGAACGGGUGAGUAACACGUGAGCAACCUGCCCCUGACUCUGGGAUAACAGCCGGAAACGGCUGCUAAUACCGGAUAUGCACCAUGAACGCAUGUUCUGUGGUGGGAAAGAUUUUUCGGUUGGGGAUGGGCUCGCGGCCUAUCAGCUUGUUGGUGAGGUAAUGGCUCACCAAGGCGUCGACGGGUAGCCGGCCUGAGAGGGUGACCGGCCACACUGGGACUGAGACACGGCCCAGACUCCUACGGGAGGCAGCAGUGGGGAAUAUUGCACAAUGGGCGAAAGCCUGAUGCAGCAACGCCGCGUGAGGGAUGACGGCCUUCGGGUUGUAAACCUCUUUUAGCAGGGAAGAAGCGAGAGUGACGGUACCUGCAGAAAAAGCGCCGGCUAACUACGUG
rnacentral:rRNA from 1 species